ACUCCUACGGGAGGCAGCAGUGAGGAAUAUUGGACAAUGGNCGGGAGCCUGAUCCANCCAUGCCAGCGUGCAGUGAUAACGGCCCUAUGGGUUGUAAACUGCUUUUAGACGGGAAGAAACGCGCCCACAGUGUGGGCGUUUGACGGUACCGUAAGAAUAAGGACCGGCUAACUCC
rnacentral:rRNA from 1 species